rnacentral:rRNA from 1 species
CAGUCGCCGCGGUAAUACGAAGGGGGCUAGCGUUGUUCGGAAUCACUGGGCGUAAAGCGCACGUAGGCGGAUUUUUAAGUCAGGGGUGAAAUCCCGAGGCUCAACCUCGGAACUGCCUUUGAUACUGGAAAUCUUGAGUCCGGGAGAGGUGAGUGGAACUGCGAGUGUAGAGGUGAAAUUCGUAGAUAUUCGCAAGAACACCAGUGGCGAAGGCGGCUCACUGGCCCGGAACUGACGCUGAGGUGCGAAAGCGUGGGGAGCAAACAGGAUUAGAUACCCCAGUAGUCCCUGUCUCUUAUAA